AGGGUUCGAUCCUGGCUCAGGAUGAACGCUGGCGGCGUGCCUAACACAUGCAAGUCGAGCGAAGCGCUUUACUUUGAUUCUUCGGAUGAAGAGUUUUGUGACUGAGCGGCGGACGGGUGAGUAACGCGUGGGUAACCUGCCUCAUACAGGGGGAUAACAGUUAGAAAUGACUGCUAAUACCGCAUAAGACCACGGUGUCGCAUGACACAGUGGUAAAAACUCCGGUGGUAUGAGAUGGACCCGCGUCUGAUUAGCUAGUUGGCAGGGUAACGGCCUACCAAGGCGACGAUCAGUAGCCGACCUGAGAGGGUGACCGGCCACAUUGGGACUGAGACACGGCCCAA
rnacentral:rRNA from 1 species